ACUUUUCCGUUCAGGUCAUGAGUCGUGCAAAUUUACAUCGGAUCGGUGAUUUACCAGAAAAUAAGGAGAGGCAGUUUGCAACAGACUGAUGAGUGCUACUCUAGCAAGAAGCCUCAAAUUAAUGGACCUCCAAGCAGACUCAAGGCCUCCACAAACUUUGUGUGGAGCUCUGGCAUCCAGCAUUUGGCGUCCAGCUUAACCUGUUGUUUUUCCACAUAGGCAGCGAUAGGUAGGACUUGGCUCUGCGAUGGUCGGUUCAUUUCCCUUCCCAGUACAUAAUUGGCAACCUUGGAAGGUGGCAUCAGAGGCCAAAUGCUUAAUGUGGCAUCAGAGAUCGUCAAAUGCUUAAUAUGGCAUAGACUGGAUUAUGUUGUUUCUGGGAUUACGCGCCUGUCAAACUGUUCUUCGAUCUGCCAUCUGUUAUACAUCAUAUGGUGUAAUUUGUCUCACCUCCCCCGUGUAAAUUAGCUGGUAGAGAAUUAUGGACGUAAUUGGUCUGACCUAUACCCCCAGUUUAAGGGGGCCUGGGGUGUCGAAUCAAUGCAGGCUCUACUC